rnacentral:rRNA from 1 species
GACGAACGCUGGCGGCGUGCCUAAUACAUGCAAGUAGAACGCUGAAGAGAGGAGCUUGCUCUUCUUGGAUGAGUUGCGAACGGGUGAGUAACGCGUAGGUAACCUGCCUGGUAGCGGGGGAUAACUAUUGGAAACGAUAGCUUACCGCAUAAUAGUAGAUGUUGCAUGACAUUUACUUAAAAGGUGCAAUUGCAUCACUACCAGAUGGACCUACGUUGUAUUAGCUAGUUGGUGAGGUAACGGCUCACCAAGGCGACGAUACAUAGCCGACCUGAGAGGGUGAUCGGCCACACUGGGACUGAGACACGGCCCAGACUCCUACGGGAGGCAGCAGUAGGGAAUCUUCGGCAAUGGACGGAAGUCUGACCGAGCAACGCCGCGUGAGUGAAGAAGGUUUUCGGAUCGUAAAGCUCUGUUGUAAGAGAAGAACGAGUGUGAGAGUGGAAAG